AGAUGGUUUAUCAGAUGUAUCUGCUGGGGGUAUUUUUACUGAUUAUUCAAGGAUCCUGUGGAGAUAUUGUGAUGACUCAGACCCCAGAUUAUGUCUCUGUGUCACCAGGAGGAACUGUCACCAUGACAUGUACAUCAAGUAGCAGUCUAUACCACAGUAUCCAUCGUUAUUACUUCCUAGCCUGGUACCAACUGAAACCAGGACAACCUCCAAAGUUUCUUAUCUAUCAUGCAAGCUACAGAGCGACUGGGAUCCCAGACCGGUUCAGUGGCAGUUUGUCUGGAACCAGUUACACUUUAACAAUCAGUGGAUUGUUAGCAGAAGAUGCAGCAGAUUAUUACUGUCAGCAGUAUUACAGCGGGUAUCACAGUGAUACAGAGCCGUACAAAAACCUUCCUCUUUUAUAA